rnacentral:rRNA from 1 species
AGCGAACGCUGGCGGCAGGCCUAACACAUGCAAGUCGAACGAAGUCUUCGGACUUAGUGGCGGACGGGUGAGUAACACGUGGGAACGUGCCUUUAGGUUCGGAAUAACUCAGGGAAACUUGUGCUAAUACCGAAUGUGCCCUUCGGGGGAAAGAUUUAUUGCCUUUAGAGCGGCCCGCGUCUGAUUAGCUAGUUGGUGAGCUAAAGGAUCACCAAGGCUACGAUCAGUAGCUGGUCUGAGAGGAUGACCAGCCACAUUGGGACUGAGACACGGCCCAGACUCCUACGGGAGGCAGCAGUGGGGAAUCUUGCGCAAUGGGCGAAAGCCUGACGCAGCCAUGCCGCGUGGAUGAUGAAGGUCUUAGGAUUGUAAAAUCCUUUCACCGGUGAAGAUAAUGGCUGUAGCCGGAGAAGAAGCCCCGGCUAACUUCGUGCCAGCCGCCGCAGUAACAC